rnacentral:tRNA from 3 species
CCUUGGUCAAGCGGUUAAGACACCGCCCUUUCACGGCGGUAACACGGGUUCGAGUCCCGUAGG